rnacentral:rRNA from 1 species
UACAGAGGGUGCGAGCGUUAAUCGGAAUUACUGGGCGUAAAGCGCGCGUAGGCGGCUUUGCAAGUCGGGUGUGAAAUCCCCAGGCUUAACCUGGGAACUGCAUUCGAGACUGCAUUGCUAGAGUAUGGGAGAGGGAAGUGGAAUUUCCGGUGUAGCGGUGAAAUGCGUAGACAUCGGAAGGAACAUCAGUGGCGAAAGCGACUUCCUGGACCAAUACUGACGCUCAUGUGCGAAAGCAUGGGGAGCAAACAGG